UGUUAUUGUAAUUAUCGUACAAUCUCAUAACUGCACCAUUUUCGCGUAAUGUUUGCCUCUAUAGAAUUGAUCUGGGUAUAUUUGUCUAAGGAAAAACGGCUUUUUAUCCACUCGUAAUCUUGGUAUCUACGUGUAUCUUUGAAAGCAGAUUUCAACUGAAGACUAUGGAUUUCAUUUGUGCUGUGUGAAUGUUGGUUAUAUGGAAAAUAUAGAUCGUAGUCUUUCCAGUGUAAUUGAUAAAGAUGCAGGAGAGGCAACCUCCAGUACAUUGGACCAUUCACUAUCACAUUUUUCUUUUGUUGAUGAUGCCUAGAAUAGCAAAGAAACUUAUCACAAUAUAGAGCUUGAGGAAUGAUUAACAUCUUCAGUUGCGUUUCUUAUCGUCACCUGAAUUCUAAAUGAGUAUUCUUCCAUGGGACUGCAUUCGAUAAAAUCAAAUGAUAUUUUAGUUGAGGAAAUAUUUGUGUAAAACUUUCCAUUAACCUGAGAAUGACAAAGUUGAGUUUAACUUUAGUUUUGUACAUUUUUUAGGACUAGAGAACCACCGAACCUUGAGAUGAUAUUCGCGAAUAAAUCCAUCACCAUACUCUGUUGGUCUUUCCCAUUCAAUUGUUAUAAUCUUAGGACUGUUCUUUCUAAAAAACCACAAGAUAAACAUGUUAGAAUACGUUUCUUUGAAAUCAUUGUUUCAUUUCUUUAGAAUGUUUUUAAUAUUGAAACUUAUUAUCCAUCUUGUAUAUCUUUCUAAAUCCGAAGUCACUGCAAAAUAUCCUAAGAUUCUUCUUGAAA